AUUGAACGCUGGCGGCAGGCCUAACACAUGCAAGUCGAGCGGAUGAAGGGAGCUUGCUCCUGGAUUCAGCGGCGGACGGGUGAGUAAUGCCUAGGAAUCUGCCUGGUAGUGAGGGAUAACGUCCGGAAACGGGCGCUAAUACCGCAUACGUCCUGAGGGAGAAAGUGGGGGAUCUUCGGACCUCACGCUAUCAGAUGAGCCUAGGUCGGAUUAGCUAGUUGGUGGGGUAAAGGCCUACCAAGGCGACGAUCCGUAACUGGUCUGAGAGGAUGAUCAGUCACACUGGAACUGAGACACGGUCCAGACUCCUACGGGUGGCAGCAGUGGGGAAUAUUGGACAAUGGGCGAAAGCCUGAUCCAGCCAUGCCGCGUGUGUGAAGAAGGUCUUCGGAUUGUAAAGCACUUUAAGUUGGGAGGAAGGGCAGUAAGUUAAUACCUUGCUGUUUUGACGUUACCAACAGAAUAAGCACCGGCUAACUUCGUG
rnacentral:rRNA from 1 species